rnacentral:piRNA from 1 species
UAUAAAGACACACCUACCUAGCCCUGCUGCC